rnacentral:pre_miRNA from 1 species
AAAGUACUCCCUCCGUACCAAAAUUCUUGUAUUAGAUUUGUUUAUAUAUAUGAAUGUAUCUAGUUAAGUUUUAGUAUUAAGAUACUCUAUUUUUAGACAAAGCCGAGACAAGAAUUUUGAGACGGAGGGAGUACUUG